CCAGACUCCUACGGGAGGCAGCAGUAGGGAAUCUUCCGCAAUGGACGAAAGUCUGACGGAGCAACGCCGCGUGAGUGAUGAAGGUUUUCGGAUCGUAAAGCUCUGUUGUUAGGGAAGAACAAGUGCCGUUCAAAUAGGGCGGCACCUUGACGGUACCUAACCAGAAAGCCACGGCUAACUACGUGCCAGCAGCCGCGGUAAUACGUAGGUGGCAAGCGUUGUCCGGAAUUAUUGGGCGUAAAGGGCUCGCAGGCGGUUUCUUAAGUCUGAUGUGAAAGCCCCCGGCUCAACCGGGGAGGGUCAUUGGAAACUGGGGAACUUGAGUGCAGAAGAGGAGAGUGGAAUUCCACGUGUAGCGGUGAAAUGCGUAGAGAUGUGGAGGAACACCAGUGGCGAAGGCGACUCUCUGGUCUGUAACUGACGCUGAGGAGCGAAAGCGUGGCGAGCGAACAGGAUUAGAUAUCCUGGUAGUCCACGCCGUAAACGAUGAGUGCUAAGUGUUAGGGGGUUUCCCGCCCCAUAAUACUUGCAGCUAACGCAUUAAAACUCCGCCUGGGGGAGUACGGUCGC
rnacentral:rRNA from 1 species